CGGACGGGUGAGUAAUACUUAGGAAUCUGCCCAUUAGUGGGGGACAACUCGAGGAAACUCGAGCUAAUACCGCAUACGCCCUACGGGGGAAAGCAGGGGAUCUUCGGACCUUGCGCUAUUGGAUGAGCCUAAGUCGGAUUAGCUUGUUGGUGAGGUAAAGGCUCACCAAGGCGACGAUCCGUAGCUGUUCUGAGAGGAAGAUCAGCCACACUGGGACUGAGACACGGCCCAG
rnacentral:rRNA from 1 species